CCUACGGGUGGCAGCAGUGAGGAAUAUUGGUCAAUGGGCGCGAGCCUGAACCAGCCAAGUAGCGUGAAGGAUGACUGCCCUACGGGUUGUAAACUUCUUUUAUAAAGGAAUAAAGUGAGGCACGUGUGCCGUUUUGUAUGUACUUUAUGAAUAAGGAUCGGCUAACUCCGUGCCAGCAGCCGCGGUAAUACGGAGGAUCCGAGCGUUAUCCGGAUUUAUUGGGGUUAAAGGGAGCGUAGAUGGGUUGUUAAGGCAGUUGUGAAAGUUUGCGGCUCAACCGUAAAAUUGCAUUUGAUACUGGCAGUCUUGCUUACAGUUGAGGUCGGCGGCCUUCGUGGUGUAGCGGUGAACUUCUUAGCUAUCACG
rnacentral:rRNA from 1 species